rfam:Oryza sativa (indica cultivar-group) chromosome 3, whole genome shotgun sequence.
UUUAAGUACAACCAUAAGUUUUCACGCUCAACUUUGAUCGUCCGUCUUAUUUGAAAUUUUUUUAUAAUUAGUAUUUUUAUUGUUAUGAGAUGAUAAAACAUGUAUAGUACUUUAUUCGUGAUUUAUGUUUUUAAAAUUUUUUCAAAUUUUUUUUAAAUAAGACGGACGAUCAAAAUUGGGCAUGAAAAACCAUGGCUAUACUUAAA